AAUCCUUUCUGGCUGGUUUUAAUGGAGCAUAGUGGCUGCUGGAGAAAGCACAGCAAUUGCUGAGUUUAUAGCAUGUAUCUGAUUAAACAGUAAACUGUAAUUUGAAAUCAUGCCAAAAUACACAGAGAGCACCCUCUGCUUUUUGGUCAGAACAGAACACUUUGGAUGCAAAUGAUUUUGAUUCACUGAUUCUCUGACUAGGCAUAUUCCUCUAAUUGUACAGGGUUCUACUUAACUAUUCUGCAUGUGUAAGAAGCAUUUUUUAGGCAGAACGAUAAAAGGCAUUCUCUCAAUAUAGUCUAACUUUUACCUCCUCUGUUAAUUGAUUAAAGUCCUGGACAAUAAUACAAGACUAUUUCAAGAGCCAGUUGCAGACUCACAACUGCAAAAGUUAUUUCUUCAUUGCAGAUACUAGGAAAUCCGGCACGAGGAAACAUGUCUGGAAAACCCAAGCUGCACUACUUCAAUGGACGAGGCCGGAUGGAACCAAUUCGGUGGCUACUGGCUGCAGCUGGGGUUGAGUUUGAAGAAUCUUAGGGUAAGUUUCCUUCACUUUGAAAUAGUAACAGCAGCAAGAGUAGUAAUAGUAAGAAUUAGAAUUAGAAUUAGAAUUAGAAUUAGAAUUAGAAUUAGAAUCAGAAUUAGAAUUAGAAUUAGAAUUAGAAUUAGAAUUAGUUGUCUGAGAACACCUAACAAUUCUUAAGUCUUAGUGUCUUGAAAAGAAGAUCUCUUAACUGGAUUGUACACAAGGUCCCAGAGGUGCACACUGCAGUGUGUUAGCUGGUAUCCCCCACCCAGUUGCUUCAGUCUUCACUGAAUCACAGAAGGGCUUAGGUCAGAAGGGACUUCUCAUGACUGUCUAUUCCACAUGCCCUCUUCAAGCAAGGCCACCUCCAGCCAGUUUUCCAGGACCAUGUCCAGCUGGGUUUUGAGUAUCUGCAAGGAUGGAGAAUGUACAGCUCCUCUGGACAAUCCAGAGAGUCAAAGAGCCUUUCGUUAAGUUCAGAUGGUUGACUCUCCUUUGCUUCAGCUUGUGUCCAUUGCCCUCCAUCCUAUGGCAACAGAGGCUUUUGUCAUCAGAUCCUCUUGAAAUUCAUUAGCAUUUUAGGUUGCCUACAAAGUUGUUGUU
rnacentral:lncRNA from 1 species